GCAUAACACUCGCAUAUUUAGGAACUCCAGGCUGUUUGAGCAGCUGCAAGAAGGGACUUACUUUCCAGACCACAAAAUUAACAUUGGGGUUGUUGAAAUGCCAAUAGUUAUCUUUGGGGACUCAGUCUACCCCUUGCUCUCAUGGCUUAUGAAGCCUUACACAGGCAGCCUGGACAGUAGUAAGGAACAGUUCAACUAUAGGCUGACAAGUGCAGAG